CACCUCUCAGGGUUGCACCUGGAGAGUUUCCAGUACCCUACCAGUCUCGGCUACAUGAGGGAGAGUCAAGCAGAGGCAUACCCACUCCAUUCCUAGCUUGACCAGUGGCUAGUGAGUGGAAGGCAAUCUGUUAUUUCA
rnacentral:snoRNA from 1 species